rnacentral:rRNA from 1 species
UACGUAGGGUGCAAGCGUUGUCCGGAAUUAUUGGGCGUAAAGCGCGUGUAGGCGGCUUUGCAAGUCGGGUGUGAAAGCCCUCAGCUUAACUGAGGAAGUGCGCCCGAAACUGCAGAGCUUGAGUACCGGAGAGGGUGGCGGAAUUCCCCAAGUAGAGGUGAAAUUCGUAGAUAUGGGGAGGAACACCGGUGGCGAAGGCGGCCACCUGGCCGGAUACUGACGCUGAGACGCGAAAGCGUGGGUAGCAAACAGG